UACCAGCACCCCGAGUGGUCGGGACGUUUAUUGGGCCGUAAAGCAUCCGUAGCCGGUUCUACAAGUCUUCCGUUAAAUCCACUCGCUUAACAGAUGGGCUGCGGAAGAUACUAUAGAGCUAGGAGGCGGGAGAGGCAAGCGGUACUCGAUGGGUAGGGGUAAAAUCCGUUGAUCCAUUGAAGACCACCAGUGGCGAAGGCGGCUUGCCAGAACGCGCUCGACGGUGAGGGAUGAAAGCUGGGGGAGCAACCGG
rnacentral:rRNA from 1 species